UACGUAGGGGGCACGCGUUGUCCGGAAUUAUUGGGCGUAAAGAGCUCGUAGGCGGUUUGUCGCGUCUGCCGUGAAAGUCCGGGGCUCAACUCCGGAUCUGCGGUGGGUACGGGCAGACUAGAGUGAUGUAGGGGAGACUGGAAUUCCUGGUGUAGCGGUGAAAUGCGCAGAUAUCAGGAGGAACACCGAUGGCGAAGGCAGGUCUCUGGGCAUUAACUGACGCUGAGGAGCGAAAGCAUGGGGAGCGAACAGG
rnacentral:rRNA from 1 species